GGGCCAAAGAGUCCUCUAUUGACUCGAAGAGAGAUGAUGACUUAAAAAUCAUGCUUAAUAGGGUUAUGCUGAGGCCC
ensembl:snoRNA SNORD115 Small nucleolar RNA SNORD115